rnacentral:rRNA from 1 species
UACGUAGGGGGCGAGCGUUGUCCGGAUUCAUUGGGCGUAAAGCGCGGGCAGGCGGCCCGCUCAGUCGGCCGUGAAAGCGCCGGGCUCAACUCGGCGAGGUCGGGCGAUACUGGCGGGCUGGAGGCUGGUAGAGGGCGGUGGAAUUCCGGGUGUAGUGGUGGAAUGCGUAGAGCUCCGGAGGAACACCAGUGGCGAAGGCGGCCGCCUGGGCCAGUCCUGACGCUGAGGAGCGAAAGCGUGGGGAGCGAACAGG